rnacentral:lncRNA from 1 species
UCAAAGCAUUGUAAGUGGAAAUAUUUGGCUCUACACCUUUUUCAGUCAUUGUUUCAAAGACAUGCCGAGCUUCUGAAACCAUUCCUUCUUUGCACAGCCCAUCAACCAAAAUAGUGAAGGUCACUGUAUUUGGCAUAACAUCCCUACCAACCAUUUCUUUGAACAGUCUAGUAGCUUCAUUCAGUUGUCCUAAAUUGCAAAAACCAUGGACUAUGGAGUUGUAAGUAAAAACAUUUGGUGGAAUGCCCCGAUCCAGCAUUUCAGAUAAGAAUUCCAUGGCGUCAUUUACUAGCCUAUCUUUGCAAAGGUUGUCUAUGAUUGUAUUAUAUGUCACCACAUCUGGCUUGCACCCAUUUUGUUCCAUCUUCUUGAACACGUCAACAGCCAUAUUUCUGUUGCCAGAUUUGAACAAACCUUUGAUUAUAGUAUUAUAGCUAAUCACAUUAGGCUCAUGCCCUCUCCGUACCAUCUCAUUAAACAAUCCUACUGCCUCUUUAAUCUUUCCCUCAUUGCAGAGACCAUUAAUGAGUGCAUUGAAUGUGCUAGCAGUGGGAUGAAUACCCAGUUUGAACAUUUUACCCAAGACAGAGACAGAAAAAUCAACAUGGUUCAAGCGACAAAGGCAGUUAAUCAAUAUAUUUAGAGAAUAAACAUUGUGGGUAACACCGAACAAAUCCAUUUGAUUGCACAAAGAGACAACAGUAGAGUACUGUUUUUUUUUGGCAAAGGAGCCUACGACUUUAACAUAUUCCGCAACAGAAGGCCUAGGAUUCAUGCGGACCAUGCGAUAGAAUGAAGCCAAAGCAUCAUCAAUACUGAUGUUAGUGCUAUUAUUACUAACAAACCCACCAUUGUUUUGAGGCAAAGAAGGUUUCCUAGUACAAGCAGAAGUGGAGAUGUGGUGAUGAUUGAAGAAUAAGAAAGAAGAAGGAAAGAAACCCAUUUCCAUAUGUUGUUGAAGAAUCCGAAAAUCAGAAGCAGUAGCUCUAUAAGCGCUUUUCCGCGUGAACAUCAUCAUUGUUAGGUUAAAAAGCUGCGUUAUCUCUGACUGUUCCUCACCUCCUUCAAAGCCGAUGAUGAAAGCUUUUCCAAUCUACUCUGUGUCUUUCUUAAGCUAUACACUUGUUGCUUUGACUUUCCAUCAUUUCCCCUUGAACAAAACAUAUUGCAAAAAAAUUCUGAGUCCUUAAAUCGUUAUCAUAUAUAUUAAUUUUUUUUUUAAUUAUAAUAAUGUUUAUUUUUUAAAGAAUUUUUUAUUUAAAAAUAUAUUAAAAUAUUAUUUUUAUUUUUAAAUUUUUUUUAAACUUACGAUAUAAAAUUAUUUAAAAAAAUUAAUUUAAAAUUAAAAAAAUUAAAAAUCAAUAUUUUAAAAAAACAAUUUGAAACACAAACCGUUUCUAAAAAAAUGAUCUACGCAUAGAAAAUUUUAUGUUGUGGUUUAUUUGUUAUAUUUUUGUGGUUUAUUUUGAAAAAACAAAUAUAGGUAUAAGAAAAAUAAAAAAAAAAAUUUAUGAUCCACCAAAAACAAUAAAAUAUAUUCUCACUCAUAAUUUAUCUCUUAUACUUGUAUCUUUUUAUUUCUUUUAAGUAGAUUUGAGAGAGUAAUUAAUAAAUACAUACUAAUUACUUUCCACAUUAACAAUGUUAUUUUUUUUUAUUUUGAUUAUCAAACUUUUUUAAUUGCAAUUUCAUCCUCUAAAAUUACAUUACCAGGUUUUUAUAUGUUGAGAUUUCUUUUGAUUUGUAUUUUUUUAUAUAAACAAAAUGUCUAAGGAUAUUCUGAUAAUGAAUUAACACAAAUUAUAUUAAUCUUUUUUAAGCAUUAUAAAACUAAAAAAAAACAUAGAAAAAUAUCAAUCAUUAUUUAAAAAUAAAUGGGACAUUAAUUAAUAUUUAAAUAAAAAUAAUUAAUAUGAAAGAAAAAAAAAGAUUAGACGACGAUGACCUUGGCCUUUCAUAAAAAAGCCUACCCCAGCCUGCCUGGUAGUUUAUUGUUUUUAUCUUAUUUUUGGAGAAAACGUAAUAUUGUAUGCUCUAGUUAUUUUUUUAUUGUAAUAAACAACAAAUCAUCUACUAUGAUAGGUGAUUGUCAACUAUUAAAUAGUUUUUUGAUUACCUCCUAUGAAAAGAAAAUCAGUGUUUAAGUAUUUGGAUUCUAAAAAUUCAUUUUUCUAUUCGUUUUUACCUGAAAACAUCUAAAACAAUCUCACAUGAAAUGCAUUAAACUCGUUCCUAGCUCCAAAACACCCUCUAAUUACUCUAAAAAAAUAAUUAAAUGAAGAAAAAAAUAAUGAACCUUGAUCAACUUUUUUUCGGCAUGGUUAUAGCAAAAAUCACAUUCAUUGAACUUUUUUCAAGAAGACGAAUCUAUUGACACAAAAAUCAAUAUUUUUUGUAGUUGGAAUAUGAUCAUAUGAGUAUUUUCUCUCUUUAAAUUUUUAUCUCUCUCCUAUCUUAACAUAUAGGUAGUGUUUGAUUAUUUUUCCAGGAUAGAAGAGACAUAGGAAAAGAAGAAAGAAAAAAGGACAAAGCGAAUUGUGUUUGACAGUGAUGUACAAGAUAAACCGACUAUAUUUAUAUCAUGUUUGGUUAUGGUGCGCACAAUAUAAUAAAAUAUAAAAAAUUUAUUUUAUUCUUAAUAUGUAUUGUUGUCAAAUUUACAUAUUUUAAAAAAUAAUUAAAUUUUUUUUUACUUUAGUUUAUAUUAAGUGAUGAAAUUGAUAAUAUUAUAAUAAUUCUAGUUACAAAACUAGAACUAAUCUAACAGGUUGACCCGAAAUCACGUCAACCCGAGGUCUAAACUAUCUGAGUUUAAGAAGAAAUAUAUAAAAGAUUGACUCGACCUAACCUGAUCAAAAACUCAGGUCAACCCGAGAUAUAACAUAGGUCAAAAACUUGUUGAAUUUUUUAAAAAUUAUUUUUUAUCGGAACAAGAUUGCUUUGAUUAUUUUUAAAAAAAGAUUGGGUUAACCGAGUUAACCUUCCCAACCUGUAAUCUAAACUUUGCCUUGAGUUAAGUUUUAAAAUUAUGAUAAUAAUUAUUUUUAUUUAUGUAGUAACUCGAAUCAACCCACGAUAACCAUCCGUCCCAUAACUUGGACCUUACCCUGCUCAAUCAUGAGUUGACUUUUAAAACUAUUAUUGUAAUAAUAAUAAUAAUUUUUUUUUUCCUUAUUGCACCUCCAGCUAAGUCUUAAUUGGCCCCGCCUUAUUUGCAAUGCCUUGCUAUUAACACAUGAUGUAUGAUGAGGUAGGUUAGGUGCUAGAUAAGCAUUCCCACCAUCAUGCUUGAGAAACAGUAUAACAUGAUCAAUACCAGAAACAGGCAUCUUGUAUCAGGGUUUGGCUCUUGCUUUCGUUACUUUUUUGAAUCAUUCCUAUGUUAGGAUUAGUUGAGGUCACAAUGUUAGGUGCAAAUUCAAAACUUGGAAUACCUAUUUUAAGAUUAGAAAAUUCAUCAAAUAAUGGAAAACAAGACUGGUUAUUGUAUGCAUUGAAGUUAAAGAUCUUUGUAUUGUGAUAACUCACAAGAGGUACAGCAGCCUGCAAUGUCACUUGAUAGGAAAAUGUCACUUCAUUUUUCUACCUCGAGAGCUUCCACGCAUAAAUCGGCUUAUGAUUUCAUCGUGGGAUUCCAGAUCCAGUAACAUCUGAAAUGUAGUUGAAUCCGCUGAGAAUCCUUUACCAACCAUUUCAUCAAUAAGUCGUACAGCAGUUGAUGAGUCCCGAAUUUGAAGAAACCCUUGAAUGAUAACAUUAUAAGAGCAACUGUCCGGCAUGAAGCCAUCAUCUUCCAUUUUUCUAAAUAAUCUGUAUGCUUCAUCUGAUAGCCCUUCUUUAAGAAGACCCUUGAUCAUGACACUGUAUGUAUGUACAGUAGGUCGUAUUCCAUCGACAAAAAGCUUCGAAAAUAGUUCCUUUGCAACUUCAAGCUUCCCAGCGAUAAACAUGCCUUCAAUAAGAAUGGUAUAAAAGACGAUAUCAGGUUCUAAUUUCUUCUCUUGCAUUGACUUGAGCAGUUUUAAUGCCUCAUCCAAAUGUCCAUGUUUCCAGAAGCCAUCUAGCAAAAUCGAGUACGUCACCAAAUUUGGAAGCAGGCCAGUAGAACACAUCUCCUUGAAAAGAUUUAGAGCUUCCUGAGGUCUCCCUACUUGGCACAGGCCUUGCAUAAGAGUGCUGUAAGUGACAGUAUCAGGAGUCAAUUCUUUUUCAGACAUUUCAGCAAGGAGUGACUUUGCCUCGUCCAUCAUUCUACUCUGGCAAUAUCCAUUGAUCAAGAUGUUGUAACUAUGUACAACAGGUACACAACCCUUGCGAACCAUGAUUUCAAAAACCUUCUUGGCCUCAUUCAUUUGGUGUUGUAAACAGUACCCAUCCAUCAAAGCAUUGUAAGUGUAAAUAUUUGGCUCUACACCUUUUUCAGUCAUUGUUUCAAAGACACACCGAGCUUCUGAAACCAUUCCUUCUUUGCACAGCCCAUCAACCAAAAUAGUGAAGGUCACUGUAUCUGGCAUAACAUCCCUGCCAACCAUUUCUUUGAACAAUCUAGUAGCUUCAUUCAGUUGUCCUAAAUUGCAAAAACCAUGGACUAUGGAGUUGUAAGUAACAACAUUUGGUGGAAUGCCCCGAUCCAACAUUUCAGAUA